GACGUGGUUUGUUGAUGCACGCGACCAAAACUCAAACUAAGCUUAAAUAUGAUCGACACAUUUUCAAGAGAAACAUUCUGACCAAGUUUCAUCAAGAUUGAGUCAUAAACAUGGCCUCUAAGGUGGUAAUGGGGGUUUUCUACACGAUUUGAACAGGUGACAGUUUUUGGAGGCGAAUUAAAUGUAAAUGUCCUAUACUGACGAGAACCUUAUUAGCAAGUAAUCGAGUUAACAUAUUAAGCUCCUUUAUGGUAACCAUAACAUAAGUUUAUACUAACAAGCCUUAUAACCAAAUUCAAAGAGUGUGUCCCCUUAGCGUGAUCUCGCGGACGCUUAUGAAAUACCAGCGCCUGCUCAGCUGGAUUUAGGGCAUUGUUACAGA